UUCCUGAUAGCUCAGUUGGUAAAGAAUCUGCCUACAAUGCAGGAGACCCCAGUUAGAUAUCUGGGUCAGAAAG
rnacentral:tRNA from 1 species